rnacentral:tRNA from 2 species
GGAGCGAUGGUGUAGUUGGUUAUCACGUCUGUCUAACACACAGACGGUCCUCAGUUCGAGUCUGGGUCGCUUCA